rnacentral:rRNA from 1 species
GCCCUAUUCCGUCUAUAUACCGCCGUCGUCAGCUUACCCUUUGAAGAUCUUGUAGUGAGCACAAUCGGCACAGCCCAAAACGCAAGGUCGAGGUGUAGCGAAUGGAAAGGGAUAGAAAUGGGCUACAUUCAAUAAAACAUAAUGAAUACGGAUGAUGUCCUGAAAACGAUAUCUGAAGGAGGAUUUAGCAGUAAGUAGAGAAUAGAGAGCUUUACUGAAACUCGGCUCUGAAGCGCGUACACACCGCCCGUCACUCUCUCCAAGCUUACAAAGAACAUUACUAAUAAAUAAGACUCGCAAAGGGGAGGCAAGUCGUAACAUGGUAAGCGUACCGGAAGGUGCGCUUGGCCUAACUUUU